rnacentral:rRNA from 1 species
UACGAAGGGUGCAAGCGUUACUCGGAAUUACUGGGCGUAAAGCGUGCGUAGGCGGUUUGUUAAGUCUGUUGUGAAAGCCCCGGGCUCAACCUGGGAAUGGCAAUGGAAACUGGCGAGCUAGAGUACGGUAGAGGAGAGUGGGAUUCCCGGUGUAGCAGUGAAAUGCGUAGAGAUCGGGAGGAACAUCAGUUGCGAAGGCGGCUCUCUGGACCAGUACUGACGCUGAGGCACGAAAGCGUGGGGAGCAAACAGG